UACAGAGGGUGCAAGCGUUGUUCGGAAUUACUGGGCGUAAAGGGCGCGUAGGCGGACAGUUUAGUCAGAGGUGAAAGCCCAGGGCUCAACCUUGGAAUUGCCUUUGAUACUGGCUGUCUUGAGUUCGGGAGAGGUGAGUGGAAUGCCGAGUGUAGAGGUGAAAUUCGUAGAUAUUCGGCGGAACACCAGUGGCGAAGGCGACUCACUGGCCCGAUACUGACGCUGAGGCGCGAAAGCGUGGGGAGCAAACAGG
rnacentral:rRNA from 1 species